CGCGUAGGCGGCGGACCUUGUCGAGUGUGAAAGCCCCGGGCUCAACCUGGGAGGUGCGCUCGAGACGGGUUUGCUGGAGUUCGGGAGAGGAGAGUGGAAUUCCCAGUGUAGAGGUGAAAUUCGUAGAUAUUGGGAAGAACACCGGUGGCGAAGGCGGCUCUCUGGACCGAGACUGACGCUGAGGCGCGAAAGCGUGGGGAGCAAACAGGAUUAGAUACCCUGGUAGUCCACGCUGUAAACGAUGUGUGCUAGACGUUGGGGAGCGCAGCUCUUCGGUGUCGCCGCAAACGCUCUAAGCACACCGCCUGGGGAUACGGCCGCAAGGUUAAA
rnacentral:rRNA from 1 species